rnacentral:rRNA from 1 species
UACGUAGGGGGCAAGCGUUGUCCGGAUUUAUUGGGCGUAAAGAGCGUGUAGGCGGCCAGGUAGGUCAGCUGUGAAAACUCGAGGCUCAACCUCGAGACGCCGGUUGAAACCAUCUGGCUAGAGUCCGGAAGAGGAGACUGGAAUUCCUGGUGUAGCGGUGAAAUGCGCAGAUAUCAGGAGGAACACCGAUGGCGAAGGCAGGUCUCUGGGCCACUACUGACGCUGAGAAGCGAAAGCAUGGGGAGCGAACAGG